ensembl:snRNA U6 U6 spliceosomal RNA
GCUAGGUUCCACAGCGCAUAUACUACAAAUUAGAACAAUACAGAGAAAAUAAGCAUGGCCUCUGCACCAGGAUGACAUGCAAAUUCAAGGAGCAUUCCAUCAAAAU